CGGAUCAGCAUGCCGCGGUGAAUACGUUCCCGGGCCUUGUACACACCGCCCGUCACACCAUGAGAGUCGGGAACACCCGAAGUCCGUAGCCUAACCGCAAGGAGGGCGCGGCCGAAGGUGGGUUCGAUAAUUGGGGUGAAGUCGUAACAAGGUACC
rnacentral:rRNA from 1 species